AGAGUUUGAUCAUGGCUCAGAGUGAACGCUAGCGGUGCGCCUAACACAUGCAAGUCGCGCGAGGCCUCGAGCCGAGCGGCGAACGGCUGCGUAACACGUUGGUAUCUACCCCAGAUUCAGGGAUAACCUCGCGAAAGCGAGGCUAAUACCGGAUGGUCCCGUAAGGGUAAAGCUACGGCGAUCUGGGAGGAGCCUGCGGCCUAUCAGGUAGUUGGUGAGGUAAUGGCUCACCAAGCCUAUGACGGGUAGCUGGUCUGAGAGGACGACCAGCCAGAAUGGAACUGAGACACGGUCCAUACUCCUACGGGAGGCAGCAGUGAGGAAUCUUCCGCAAUGGGCGAAAGCCUGACGGAGCGACACCGCGUGAAGGAUGAAGAGCUUCUGCUCGUAAACUUCUGUUCUGAGGGAAGAAAUUUUUGACGGUACCUCAGGAGAAAGCACCGGCUAAUCCCGUGCCAGCAGCCGCGGUAAUACGGGAGGUGCAAGCGUUACUCGGAAUUACUGGGCGUAAAGCGUCCGCAGGUGUCUUGUUGCGUCUGGGGUAAAAGCACGGGGCUCAACCCCGUGUAUGUCCUGGAAACGAGCAAGAUGGAGUCACUCAGAGGUAUCUGGAAUGCCGUGUGUAGGGGUAAAAUCCGUUGAUCCACGGUAGAACGCCAAAAGCGAAAGCAGGAUACUGGGGGUGUACUGACACUCAUGGACGAAAGCGUGGGGAGCGAACGGGAUUAGAUACCCCGGUAGUCCACGCCCUAAACGAUGCGAGCUCGGUGUAGGGACUUCAAUCUGUCCCUGUGCCCUAAGCUAACGCGGUAAGCUCGCCGCCUGG
rnacentral:rRNA from 1 species